rnacentral:rRNA from 1 species
GACAGAGGGUGCAAACGUUGUUCGGAAUUACUGGGCGUAAAGCGCGUGUAGGCGGCUAUGCAAGUCGGAUGUGAAAGCCCUCGGCUCAACCGGGGAAGUGCACCCGAAACUGCAAAGCUAGAGUCUCGGAGAGGAUCGUGGAAUUCUCGGUGUAGAGGUGAAAUUCGUAGAUAUUGGGAGGAACACCAGUGGCGAAGGCGACUGACUGGACAAGUAUUGACGCUGAGGUGCGAAAGCGUGGGGAGCAAACAGG